UCACGAGCUUACCCCAUGAGUCCGAGGCGGCCGAGCGAAACCAAAUUGCACCUAAACGGACUCGAUCCCUUUUUUCUAGCUCCGUCUGCAGUAACGUCAAUGUUACGGUUGAACUGCGCAUGUGUCAAACCCCAAAAUGCUCCCACGCCUUCAUUUAAUAGGCCUUGUCCCAGAAGCGGAAAUACAUGCAACGUGAUACGUGACGAGUAUUGUAAACAAAUGUGAAUGUUUUUGCUCGCCUUAAAAGGAAUGUCAGUACAAGAGUCGUUUACUUGAUGUCCUCACAGAGCUCCGGGAUGUUGUGUGAAGUCGUGCUGUCAUCGCUUUGGUUCCUGUUUGUUAUCUUCUGGGUCGAGACAAUAAGUGUUUGCUGUUUCUGUCAAUGUUUCUACCAGGACCGGGCUUUUUACUACUGGGGAGAUGGGGUAUUUGCAGAUGAUCCUGGACAGAUGAUAUAUAUGUUGAGCAGAGUGGAUACCCAUAUUCAGACAGAGAUGCAGACCUGAGACAGAAAGAACGCCACUUAAAGGACUCAAUAAAGGCAGUUCUUUGACUGAAGACCAAAGGAUGGCGAGCAGUAGCUGUUUUUUCUUUGCGUUGACUGCCUUGCACACUGUUGUGCAGUCCUUAUUAACAUCUCUAAAUGUAGGCCCCCUUUUAAUAAUAGGUGGUGUAGAUAUGCAGAAUUAGUGAAUGCACUGCUAAGACAUAGAAGGAGGUCCUCAGUGAUUGAUGUGUAUCAUGCCCACCAGUGUCAACAUUUAUAUUUCCACUUUAAGAUUUUGGGGGAGCAGAAAACAUGCUUAGUUUUCUUGGUCUUUUUUUUCAGUCCAUUUUGAGAAUAUGGCGUUUUUAUAAUACUGCCAUUCUAUGCAACUACAGUUGUUGCUGUCUGCAGCUAUAUUUGUUUUUUUAAAUAUCAGAUUGCAGUAACCUGCUAUAAGUUAUAAAUUGUGGCCUUCAUCUGCUGAUGGAUUUUUCUCAGUUGGCAUGUGUCCUCUUUCCCGAUAUAAGUACACUUAUUUACUCACUGAAAUUUUACACUGAGGAUGCAUGAUAACUGAGCCAUUUGGAACUGCAAAAGCUCCUUUUGCUGCUGAAGAUCACACAAUGGGAUCGAAAGCCCAAAAAGUGGACCUUAUGUUCCGAAACAAGCAACAUAUUUUGCAGUAUGUUGAAUGCUGUAUGCCAAAAAUAUCCAGAUGUCCGACUGCAUCGGGUCCCAUUUUGCAGGAUGCAAGCCAGCAUGCUUCUCCGGUCCAUUUGACCCUUAAAACUCUGCACAGCAGAUAUAAGCAAGAGGGUCAAAGUUCAGGGUGCACUAUUAUGAUGAAGGAGUCUGCAUGCAACAGUAUAUUUGUAUGGGCCGCUGCUACUAAAAGUACAAAUAAAAAAGUGUGUGAUUUGGAAUACAGCCCUGAUUUGUGUGUUUCUAAAGAUGGAUAUGAUAGUGUGCCCCAUGUUAGGAAUCCUCACUGAGAGCAAUAUGUCAGUAUUAUAUCGAGUAAAAUACAUUUUAUUUACGCAACUCUUUGCAAGCCUGUGAGAAUAUUAAUCUGCCAAGAUAGUUUUGCAUUCCUUCUGUCAAUUGAAGGGUUUGCUUUUGAACAAAACCAGCAGAUAGUUUGGGUCUCAUUUUGAGGCAAACAAUGUCAAUAUUGAUUUGUAAAAAUGUGCUCAAUAAACGUAUUUUGAAGUGCGA